UCUGUGAGCACAGCUGCUUGCCAUUGCCUGCCUUAUAGGCAUGUAGAGACUGCCAGGCCCUCCCAGGGCAGCCCCAACCAGGUCUCCUCCCACCUGCCACACAGCGCUCCGGGGCCUGAGGGCUCCCUCAGCCCUGGGAAGACACAUUCCCUUCCCUGUUCCCCAGAGAGCCCACCUCCGCCCUGGGCAGGAGCCCCUCGGAGGAAGCUCAAUAUCAGCUGGGAAGGAACUGUGCCUCUGUCUGACUGGCCCCACUUCCUAAGCACUGCCCUGCCCCAUGGGGUGGCACAGGGGUCCCACAGCAGGUCUUCCUGCACUGCCCACCCCUGGCUGGUCUGUGGCCCAAGGAAGGCCACUCCACAUUAAGCUGCCCAAUAAACUGCUUUUAAGAUAA
rnacentral:lncRNA from 1 species